rnacentral:rRNA from 1 species
GUGGCAGACGGGUGAGUAAUGCAUAGGAAUCUGCCUAGUAGUAUGGGAUAGCCACUAGAAAUGGUGGGUAAUACUGUAUAAUCCCUGCGGGGGAAAGAUUUAUCGCUACUGGAUGAGCCUAUGUUAGAUUAGCUAGUUGGUGGGGUAAUGGCCUACCAAGGCUGUGAUCUAUAGCUGGUCUGAGAGGAUGAUCAGCCACACUGGAACUGAGACACGGUCCAGACUCCUACGGGAGGCAGCAGUGGGGAAUAUUGGACAAUGGGCGCAAGCCUGAUCCAGCUAUGCCGCGUGAGUGAGGAAGGCCUUAGGGUUGUAAAACUCUUUCAGCAGGGAAGAUAAUGACGGUACCUGCAGAAGAAGUCCCGGCAAACUCCGUGCCAGCAGCCGCGGUAAUACGGAGGGGGCAAGCGUUGUUCGGAAUUAUUGGGCGUAAAGGGCAUGUAGGCGGUUUGGUAAGU